rnacentral:rRNA from 1 species
GUGGGGAAUAUUAGGCAAUGGGCGAAAGCCUGACCUAGCAACGCCGCGUGAAGGAAGAAGGCCUUCGGGUUGUAAACUUCUUUUAUGAGGGACGAAGGACGUGGCGGUACCUCAUGAAUAAGCCACGGCUAACUACGUGCCAGCAGCCGCGGUAAUACGUAGGUGGCGAGCGUUGUCCGGAUUUACUGGGUGUAAAGGGCGCGUAGGCGGGAUGGCAAGUCAGAUGUGAAAUACCGGGGCUCAACUCCGGGGCUGCAUUUGAAACUGUCGUUCUUGAGUGAUGGAGAGGCAAGUGGAAUUCCUAGUGUAGCGGUGAAAUGCGUAGAUAUUAGGAGGAACACCAGUGGCGAAGGCGACUUGCUGGACAUUAACUGACGCUGAGGCGCGAAAGCGUGGGGAGCAAACAGGAUUAGAAACCCGAGUAGUCC